UACGAGGGGGGCAAGCGUUAAUCGGAAUUACUGGGCGUAAAGCGUGCGUAGGCGGUUCGUUAAGUCUGUCGUGAAAGCCCUGGGCUCAACCUGGGAAUGGCGAUGGAUACUGGCGAGCUAGAGUGUGAUAGAGGAUGGCGGAAUUCCCGGUGUAGCGGUGAAAUGCGUAGAGAUCGGGAGGAACAUCCGUGGCGAAGGCGGCCAUCUGGAUCAACACUGACGCUGAGGCACGAAAGCGUGGGGAGCAAACAGG
rnacentral:rRNA from 1 species